rnacentral:rRNA from 1 species
AGCGAACGCUGGCGGCAGGCCUAACACAUGCAAGUCGAACGAACCUUUCGGGGUUAGUGGCGGACGGGUGAGUAACACGUGGGAACGUGCCUUUAGGUUCGGAAUAACUCAGGGAAACUUGUGCUAAUACCGAAUGUGCCCUUCGGGGGAAAGAUUUAUCGCCUUUAGAGCGGCCCGCGUCUGAUUAGCUAGUUGGUUGAGGUAAUGGCUCACCAAGGCGACGAUCAGUAGCUGGUCUGAGAGGAUGUUCAGCCACAUUGGGACUGAGACACGGCCCAAACUCCUACGGGAGGCAGCAGUGGGGAAUCUUGCGCAAUGGGCGAAAGCCUGACGCAGCCAUGCCGCGUGAAUGAUGAAGGUCUUAGGAUUGUAAAAUUCUUUCACCGGGGACGAUAAUGACGGUACCCGGAGAAGAAGCCCCGGCUAACUUCGUG